rnacentral:misc_RNA from 1 species
GAUGAAGAACGUAGCGAAAUGCGAUAAGUAGUGUGAAUUGCAGAAUUCAGUGAAUCAUCGAAUCUUUGAACGCACAUUGCGCCCCUUGGUAUUCCAUGGGGCAUGCCUGUUCGAGCGUCAUUUGUACCUUCAAGCUUUGCUUGGUGUUGGGUGUUAGUCCUUUCUCUUGCAGAGGGACUCGCCUUAAAGUAAUUGGCAGCCAGUGUUUUGGUUUUGAAGCGCAGCACAAGUCGCGAUUCAAAGCUAUACGCCAGCUUCCACAAGCCUUUUUCACUUUUGACCUCGGAUCAGGUAGGGAUACCCGCUGAACUUAAGCAUAUCAAUAAGCGGAGGA